rnacentral:tRNA from 1 species
UGGCGUAGUGGUCACUGCGCUCGCUUUGCACGCGGGAGACCCGGGUUCGAUUCCCGG